UACGUAGGGGGCAAGCGUUGUCCGGAUUUAUUGGGCGUAAAGCGCGUGUAGGCGGCCAGAUAGGUCUGCUGUGAAAACUCGAGGCUCAACCUCGAGCUGUCGGCGGAAACCAUCUGGCUAGAGUCCGGAAGAGGAGAGUGGAAUUCCUGGUGUAGCGGUGAAAUGCGCAGAUAUCAGGAAGAACACCUAUGGCGAAAGCAGCUCUCUGGGACGGUACUGACGCUGAGACGCGAAAGCGUGGGGAGCGAACAGG
rnacentral:rRNA from 1 species